AAGCGGAGGAAAAGAAACUAACAAGGAUUCCCCUAGUAACUGCGAGUGAAGCGGGAAGAGCUCAAAUUUAAAAUCUAAUAGUCUAUGACUGUUCGAGUUGUAAUCUAGAGAAGCACUAUCCGUGCUGGACCAUGUAUAAGUCUCCUGGAAUGGGGCGUCAUAGAGGGUGAGAAUCCCGUCUUUGACAUGGACUACCAGUGCAUUGUGAUGUGCUCUCAACGAGUCGAGUUGUUUGGGAAUGCAGCUCUAAAUGGGUGGUAAAUUCCAUCUAAAGCUAAAUAUUGGCGAGAGACCGAUAGCGAACAAGUACCGUGAGGGAAAGAUGAAAAGAACUUUGAAAAGAGAGUUAAACAGUACGUGAAAUUGUUGAAAGGGAAACGCUUAAAGUCAGUCACAUUGAUCAGGGAUCAACCUUGCUUUUGCUUGGUGUAUUUUCUGAUCAAUGGGUCAGCAUCAAUUUUAAUCAGUGGACAAAGGCUGAGGGAAUGUGGCAUCAUUUGAUGUGUUAUAGCCCUCUGUCAUAUACAUUGGUUGGGAUUGAGGAACUCAGCAUGCCGCAAGGCCGGGUUUUAACCACGUUCAUGCUUAGGAUGCUGGCAUAAUGGCUUUAAUCGACCCGUCUUGAAACACGGAA
rnacentral:rRNA from 1 species